UACGUAGGGGGCGAGCGUUGUCCGGAUUUAUUGGGCGUAAAGAGCGUGUAGGCGGCCAGGUAGGUCUGCUGUGAAAACUCGAGGCUCAACCUCGAGACGUCGGCGGAAACCAUCUGGCUAGAGUCCGGAAGAGGAGAGUGGAAUUCCUGGUGUAGCGGUGAAAUGCGCAGAUAUCAGGAAGAACACCCGUGGCGAAGGCGGCUCUCUGGGCCUUACCUGACGCUCAGGUGCGAAAGCUAGGGGAGCGAACAGG
rnacentral:rRNA from 1 species